CCCUUAGAUGUUCUGGGCCGCACGCGCGCUACACUGAUGCAUUCAACGAGCCUAUCCUUGACCGACAGGUCCGGGUAAUCUUUGAAUCUGCAUCGUGACGGGGAUAGAUUAUUGCAAUUAUUAAUCUUCAACGAGGAAUUCCUAGUAAGCGCGAGUCAUCAACUCGCGUUGAUUACGUCCCUGCCCUUUGUACACACCGCCCGUCGCUACUACCGAUUGAAUGGCUUAGUGAGGCCUCAGGAUCCGCGCUUAAUGUGUGGAGAAUUUGGACAAACUACGUCAUUUAGAGGAAGUAAAAGUCGUAACA
rnacentral:rRNA from 1 species